AUGGCACUAUCCCAUGGGAGAGUUGUGUCCCAUGGAUCAACGCAGGCUGUUAUUUCAGAGGCAGAGAAAUCCUCAGCCUUGCAGAUGAAAUGUAGGCUCCAUGGAGGAAAUGCAGUGAGUGGCUACAUCUGGCUAAAUAUCCAUGUGGAGAAAUGGUGUCAUUACCACCUCAGCACUGCUGUCAGAGCUCUGAGGUCUCCUAUACCCUCUACCCUAAAACAUUAACCUACCCUGGCAGAUAUUAUGAUUUUCUCAGUAUACUGGCAUCUUACUUAGGCCACAUUAAGUUUCUAUGUCUG
rnacentral:lncRNA from 1 species